UGGGGAAUAUUGGGCAAUGGGCGAAAGCCUGACCCAGCAACGCCGCGUGAAGGAUGAAGUAUUUCGGUAUGUAAACUUCGAAAGAAUAGGAAGAAUAAAUGACGGUACUAUUUAUAAGGUCCGGCUAACUACGUGCCAGCAGCCGCGGUAAUACGUAGGGACCAAGCGUUGUUCGGAUUUACUGGGCGUAAAGGGCGCGUAGGCGGCAAUUCAAGUCAUCUGUGAAAUCUCCGGGCUUAACUCGGAACGGUCAGAUGAUACUGCUUUGCUAGAGUGCAGAAGGGGCAAUCGGAAUUCUUGGUGUAGCGGUGAAAUGCGUAGAUAUCAAGAGGAACACCUGAGGUGAAGACGGGUUGCUGGGCUGACACUGACGCUGAGGCGCGAAAGCCAGGGGAGCAAACGGGAUUAGAUACCCCCGUAGUCCCUGAGCGGGCUGGCAAGGCGCAU
rnacentral:rRNA from 1 species